rnacentral:rRNA from 1 species
GUGGGGAAUUUUGGACAAUGGGCGCAAGCCUGAUCCAGCAAUGCCGCGUGCAGGAAGAAGGCCUUCGGGUUGUAAACUGCUUUUGUACGGAACGAAACGGUCCGGGUUAAUACCCUGGGCUAAUGACGGUACCGUAAGAAUAAGCACCGGCUAACUACGUGCCAGCAGCCGCGGUAAUACGUAGGGUGCAAGCGUUAAUCGGAAUUACUGGGCGUAAAGCGUGCGCAGGCGGUUGUGUAAGACAGGCGUGAAAUCCCCGGGCUCAACCUGGGAAUUGCGCUUGUGACUGCACAGCUGGAGUGCGGCAGAGGGGGAUGGAAUUCCGCGUGUAGCAGUGAAAUGCGUAGAUAUGCGGAGGAACACCGAUGGCGAAGGCAAUCCCCUGGGCCUGCACUGACGCUCAUGCACGAAAGCGUGGGGAGCAAACAGGAUUAGAUACCCCUGUAGUCC